rnacentral:rRNA from 1 species
AUUGAACGCUGGCGGCAUGCCUUACACAUGCAAGUCGAACGGUAACAGGUCUUCGGACGCUGACGAGUGGCGAACGGGUGAGUAAUACAUCGGAACGUGCCCAGUCGUGGGGGAUAACUACUCGAAAGAGUAGCUAAUACCGCAUACGAUCUGAGGAUGAAAGCGGGGGACCUUCGGGCCUCGCGCGAUUGGAGCGGCCGAUGGCAGAUUAGGUAGUUGGUGGGAUAAAAGCUUACCAAGCCGACGAUCUGUAGCUGAUCUGAGAGGACGACCAGCCACACUGGGACUGAGACACGGCCCAGACUCCUACGGGAGGCAGCAGUGGGGAAUUUUGGACAAUGGGCGAAAGCCUGAUCCAGCAAUGCCGCGUGCAGGAUGAAGGCCUUCGGGUUGUAAACUGCUUUUGUACGGAACGAAAAGGUCUCCUCUAAUACAGGAGGCCCAUGACGGUACCGUAAGAAUAAGCACCGGCUAACUACGUGCCAGCCGCCGCCGUAA